rnacentral:rRNA from 1 species
CCUACGGGUGGCAGCAGUGGGGAAUAUUGCACACUGGGGGACACCCUGAUGCAGCGACGCCGCGUGAGUGAAGAAGUAUCUCGGUACGUAAAGAUCUAUCAGCAGGGAAGAAAAUGACGGUACCUGACUAAGAAGCCCCGGCUAACUACGUGCCAGCAGCCGCGGUAAUACGUAGGGGGCAAGCGUUAUCCGGAUUUACUGGGUGUAAAGGGAGCGUAGACGGCAGCACAAGUCUGAAGUGAAAUCCCGGGGCUUAACCCCGGAACUGCUUUGGAAACUGGGCGGCUGGAGUGCAGGAGGGGUAAGUGGAAUUCCAAGUGUAGCGGUGAAAUGCGUAGAGAUUAGGAGGAACACCGGUGGCGAAGGCGGCUUACUGGACUGUAACUGACGUUGAGGCUCGAAAGCGUGGGGAGCAAACAGGAUUAGAUACCCGAGUAGUC